AACGAACGCUGGCGGCAUGCCUAACACAUGCAAGUCGAACGAGAUCUUCGGGUCUAGUGGCGCACGGGUGCGUAACGCGUGGGAAUCUGCCCUUUGGUUCGGAAUAACAGUUGGAAACGACUGCUAAUACCGGAUGAUGACGAAAGUCCAAAGAUUUAUCGCCAGAGGAUGAGCCCGCGUAGGAUUAGCUAGUUGGUGUGGUAAAGGCGCACCAAGGCGACGAUCCUUAGCUGGUCUGAGAGGAUGAUCAGCCACACUGGGACUGAGACACGGCCCAGACUCCUACGGGAGGCAGCAGUGGGGAAUAUUGGACAAUGGGCGAAAGCCUGAUCCAGCAAUGCCGCGUGAGUGAUGAAGGCCUUAGGGUUGUAAAGCUCUUUUACCCGGGAUGAUAAUGACAGUACCGGGAGAAUAAGCUCCGGCUAACUCCGUGCCAGCAGCCGCCGCAG
rnacentral:rRNA from 1 species